rnacentral:rRNA from 1 species
AACUGAAGAGUUUGAUCAUGGCUCAGAUUGAACGCUGGCGGCAGGCUUAACACAUGCAAGUCGAGCGGGGGAAGGUAGCUUGCUACCGGACCUAGCGGCGGACGGGUGAGUAAUGCUUAGGAAUCUGCCUAUUAGUGGGGGACAACAUCUCGAAAGGGAUGCUAAUACCGCAUACGUCCUACGGGAGAAAGCAGGGGAUCUUCGGACCUUGCGCUAAUAGAUGAGCCUAAGUCGG